UUCCUUACUCCAAACAAAUCCCCUUCUAAGGCAAUUCUCACUUACUCCUUUGUCGCGCCAGAAAUCACCUCCGGCGGUGGCAGAGCUUCAAAUGACCUUAACAUGCCAUGAAAAUCAUCGUCUCCACCUACUCUCUUCUAUUCCAAUGUUGCCUUUCUCUGAUUCCUCCCACAGAACUCAAAUCAAAGAACAAAUUGUAUAAACCCUAAAUCUUCAAAUCCAAAUUAAAUGCAAAUGAUAGCUAAUAUGAACCUCAAAGCUUUGAGCUAUGGAUCCUCUAUCCUAACGCUAUCAUCUGGUAACAAGAAACAAGAUAAAACAAGAGAGUUUGAAAUAGAUGAACCAACCUUCAGAGCGGUGAAUUACUCCGGUCAAGGUUGAAAUUCUUGAAGACGAAGGUGAUAAGAAAACCAGAGGCGCCUCGAAUAAGCUAUAUGGCGCUUUAAUUAUGAAGAUGUUUGGAAUUAUAUGGUGUACCAAAAUGGUGGUUUGGAAAAAAAUCAAGCCUCAUGAAGAAAAAGUUGGGACUAGGACUUAGAAAUAGGAGUUGACCUUGGUCAUAUGUUUGACCAAAUUCAAUAGUAGGUCAAAAAGUAUUAUUUUGGUGUAUAAUUUUGUAAUUGGAUGUUUUUUUGUGUGAUGGAGAAGCUUUUGAAAUGAGAUGAAUAUGUGUAACUUAUUCUUCAAUAAACCUUGAAUGCAUGUAUUUUAUGUUCUUUUGA